rnacentral:lncRNA from 1 species
AGAACUCAGGUAUAACAACAUAACAGAAAUCGAUGUUCAGUUUUGUAAAGAGAUGCCACAGUUACAGUACCUGUAUGUACACACAAUUUGUUAUGUGACAUAUUAUAUAUAUAAUUGGUACCACAUUUAUUCAGUAUGUGUGUUAUGUAUUUAUUAUAAUAUACUAUAUUAUGGAGUGUGAGUCAGAGCGAGAACUUCUCUAGUUCAUUACUUUAGGAAUAUUUAUGAAAAAGUAAUAUUUCAAUACCCAGCCCCAUUCUACUAUUUAGUCAGCCGUCAGUCUCUAUCCUGAUAUACCCUAUUUUUCGGGUAAUUAAUACAGAUAGAUUUUGACAUUUUUAGCCGAAUUUUAUCGUAUACUGGUUCAUAUUCUGGACGCCAGUCUUUGCUCCUUUAUAAUAUAAUUCACAAAUAAAGAACACAUAUGAAGCUUAGAAAUGGAAAAAUAUUAAAUACUUAACUCGUUAAAAGGGUAUCUAGACGUCUCAAUCUUCAAAAACGGUUAUCUAAAAAUAUUAACAUUUUUAAUUAUAAAAAUCGUGGUUACCCUUCUGUCGAUAAGUGUCAUGCCAAACAAUGACUUACAUGUCCCCGUCUUUCCACCAACAAUACGGCAAGGUCCACGUUUAAUUGUCGCACAUUUUCUUUAAAUUUUGAAACUAAUAUAAUUACAAAAAACAAACAGUAUUAUUUAUUUACUCGCAUGAAACAAACCGGGAUGUGGCAUUCAGUACGUAGAUGAAACUGGACGAUAUUUAUCUAAACUAACUCAAGAACAUCUGUAUCGUUUUAAAAGACCCAAUAAAUUCAAAAGUAUCAUUUACCAACACCUUAAGAAGCACAAUCAUCCUAUUAAAUAUUUAGCAGUUCAAUCUUUAGUAGUAAAUAAGCAGCCUGGUGAAUCUCAUUCAAAGUUUGUACGAUCACGGAAAAUAAUUGAAUUAAAUUGGAUUAAAAAAUUACAGACAGUCUACCUCUCGGUCUUAAUGAUAAUAUAAGAGAAUUGGUAAUAUGUCAACAACCGAUUCCAUUAACUUUUUGAUAUAGUUUCUAUAACUGUUAGUAAAAACCGUUCUCACGGUCGUAGAAAAAAGCGCAAUCAAAUAACAUUUCAACCCAAUCAUACCAAUAUUUCGGACCUAUUUUAUAUUUCAAAAAACAACAGCAGACAUUAUCUGUUAACACAUUUCUGUUCAUUACCGGUUAAUAAGUUAAAGAAAUUUUUGGAGGAUGGCAACACAAUUUCAUAUAGCAGUCCAUUCUCUUAAAGAACACAUUCCUGGGUAUUUUGACAAUACUAAGCUCCCUCUUAUUUGUUAUAUUUACAAGAAAUCUAACCGGAAAUUUGUGUUUAAUUAUAGCCAAUUAUGUAAAGAUGUUAAUAUCAGUGAAAAUACACCUACUUCAUGUAAUUGUGGUAUUUCCGAAUAUAUUUAUGGACCCAUUUUCCGUGUUAUAACAGGACCGAUAGUAUUCAACAUUUUAAAGAACAUUUUACUAUUAACAAUAACCACAAUAAACGUAUUUCUCGUAUUAAAUUUAAACUAAACAGACUAGCCAAGGAAUUUGCUUUUUGUCCCGGCCGAUAAAGCUGCAAAUAAUAUUAUUAUUGUUUGACGUAAAUUUUAUAUUGAGGUUCUGAAAAAAGAAAUCACCAAUUCACCAACAUUUCCAACUGACUCCAUUUUCAGAAAAUCUGUAACAAACAUAAACUUUUAGCUACCGCUUUACAAGCGGAACCAAUACAUGAAAGUCCAACUAUGUACUGGCUUCCGAAAGCUACAAAAACCACCUAUAAAUAUCGAUUUAUUUCGUCUUCAGCCAUUGUUCCACUACUAAAUUGUCUGUUUUACUUACAAUACACUUGGUACAAUAAACUGAUAAAUUGUUCAAAUAAGGCCUUGAAAAUAGUGGAAUUAAUUACUUUUGAGUGUCAAAACUCGUUGGAUACUUGAUAAAUUGCAUGCUAUAUUGUGAUUUUGAAUCUGUUCAAAGUUUUGAUUUUUCUACCCUGUAUACCAAUUGCCUUAUUCUAUAAGAAAUAUUCACAUGUUAAUUAAAUGGCAUUUAAAAAGUCAGAAUGCGAUACAUAUGUUCAAACUCUUUUAGUUUUUUAGUAGCAAUAACAAAAGAACAUGGCAAUUGAAUCUUGAUACAAUUAUUGCAUUGAAUUUUACUUGAUAACAUUUUUGUUUCGCUUUGGAGAAUCCGUAUAUCGUCAGGUUAUGGAAUUGCAAUGGGGACUAACUGUGCCCACUUAUUGCGGACCUGUUUUGUAUUGUUAUGAGUUACAAUUUAUGACUAAAUUAGCAAGACCCAUCAAACAACAUUGAUACAAAUUUAAUAAUACUUUUAGAUAUUUGUGUGAUAUUUUGGCUCUCAAUAAUGACGACUUUAGUAUGUAUACUAAAGCAAUUUCUCCUGUUGAACUUACUUUAAAUAAAGCUAAUACUAAAAAUGCACACUGCCCUUUCCUCGAUCUUGAUAUCUAUAUCAUUAACGGAAGCUUAAUACUAAAAUGUAUGAUAAAAGAAAUGAUUUGUUUUCAUUUCCUAUCGUUAAUUAUCCAUUUUAGAUGGUGACGUUCCCUUGUCACCACCUUACGGUGUUUAUAUAUCUCAACCUGUACGAUUCGCUCGUGUAUGUAACAAUGUUUUAGAUUUUAACGAGAUAAAUUUAUGCAUCACGGAAAAAAAAUAUUACACCAGGGUUUUCGAUAUCGAUAACUAGUCAAAACAUUUACUAAAUUUCAUUAUCGGUAUAAGGACAUCAUUCGUAAAUAUAGCUCAACAUCCAGACUUCUUAUACGUUCAGGUAUUUCACAUCUUUAUAAAGUACAAAAAUAUCAAUAUUGCGUUUACUUAUCGUUUGCUUGUAUUUCGUCUUGUGUAAGAGAAGUACUUCAUAAUAAUCGAGUAACUUACAUGUGUUUGACUUGCAUAUAAUGUUGCGCUGUAUAUUUAAGAUUAUUACAUUUUAAAUUUUCAAAUGUUUCAAAUAUUUUAGUAACAUUAGUUUCCAACAAAAUAGGCAAUGAAUGUCCGAAGAACACAUUUCUAGUAUAUAAGUGUUUCACCAUCGGCGGAGGAUAUUAUGAUUAAAAUCAAAUUGACAAAGCUUAUACUUACGUACACAAAUGCAUAACAAUACGGUUGUGUAACUAUGUAUUCAUGCUGAUUUACGUAUAAAUAUAGUCUCUAGUACCUACAUACUAUUUAUUAAAAUAAAGGUUCUCCAAAUUUAAAUUACUUAUGUUUUAACGACUUUGAUAAAAUGUAGUCGGUUACAUUGAUUUAAUUCCUUCUUGAAACAUGUUGUGUAAUGCCUUGAAUCCUAAGUAUUUGUUAUUGAACAGUUUUUAUAAAUAAACAAAGGAUUUAUAUAUUAUUUGAUUGUCUAAACAAUAUAAAUAAAUUCUCGAUUUUUAAUGAUGAAUUAUUUUCUGUUUUAUAUUAGUUAUAUCAGCCACAAUUUGAUUACUGAAGUUCCGCUAAACACAUUUACAGGCUGUAAGCAGCUGUAUAGAAUGUACGUAUAUAUUUUAAAUAUUCACUUGUUAAUCUCAUUUGAAUUAUUCGAAGGUGCUGGGUUAAACAAUACAAGU